GGGCCCGCACAAGCGGUGGAGCAUGUGGUUUAAUUCGAUGCAACGCGAAAAACCUUACCAGGCCUUGACAUCCAGAGAACUUACCAGAGAUGGUUCGGUGCCUUCGGGAACUCUGUGACAGGUGUUGCAUGGCUGUCGUCAGCUCGUGUCGUGAGAUGUUGGGUUAAGUCCCGUAACGAGCGCAACCCUUAUCCUUACUUGCCAGCACGUAAUGGUGGGAACUUUAAGGAGACUGCCGGUGACAAACCGGAGGAAGGAGAGGAUGAUGUCAAGUCAUCAUGGCCCUUACGGCCUGGGCUACACACGUGCUACAAUGGGAAGUACAAAGGGCCGCAAUACCGCGAGGUGGAGCAAAUCCCAAAAACUUUCGUAGUCCGGAUUGGAGUCUGCAACUCGACUCCAUG
rnacentral:rRNA from 1 species